GACGAACGCUGGCGGCGUGCUUAACACAUGCAAGUCGAACGGAAAGGCCCUGCUUUUGUGGGGUGCUCGAGUGGCGAACGGGUGAGUAACACGUGAGUAACCUGCCCUUGACUUUGGUAUAACUUCAGGAAACUGGGGCUAAUACCGGAUAGGAUCUCCUGCUGCAUGGUGGGGGUUGGAAAGUUUCGGCGGGUGGGGAUGGACUCGCGGCUUAUCAGCUUGUUGGUGGGGUAGUGGCUUACCAAGGCUUUGACGGGUAGCCGGCCUGAGAGGGUGACCGGCCACAUUGGGACUGAGAUACGGCCCAGACUCCUACGGGAGGCAGCAGUGGGGAAUAUUGCACAAUGGGCGGAAGCCUGAUGCAGCAACGCCGCGUGCGGGAUGACGGCCUUCGGGUUGUAAACCGCUUUCGCCUGUGACGAAGCGUGAGUGACGGUAAUGGGUAAAGAAGCACCGGCUAACUACGUG
rnacentral:rRNA from 1 species